rnacentral:antisense_RNA from 1 species
GGCAAAGUGAGUCACACUGGACAGGAGAGUCUGGAAGAAUGGCAGGCAUAGCUUGCAAGCGCAUCUGGAGGUGGCUGGAGAGAAACACGUACUCAUCCAAAGAGGGGACCCAUGACCGUGGUGUGCACAGCACAAGAGCUCAGUUGAGAUCUCUGAUAAAGGAAGUCCACCAUGCAGGGUUGAGCUGAACCACAGAAGCCCAGCCUGGGAGCAGGGCUCCAGGACUCCCCAAGGAUCAGAAACCUCAAUGAUAAAUUUCCGACUGGAUGAUACACACUACACCUGUUCUUCAGUGAUGAUGUAUGGUAUGUCUAACAUCUGCGUAUUAGCAGCUGAAUUCCCUUCUAUGACGUGAUACAUAAUGUGUGGUAUGACAGAGCUGGGUAAUAAACAAUGUCAGCUGCGUCCUA